rnacentral:rRNA from 1 species
AUGUUCCGCGACGUCGCGCGGCUCACCAACCGAUGCUCUACAUGCUGCAAAUCUAAGUCAAAAGCUCAAUCUCAUGGUUUAUAUAUGCCACUUCCAAUUCCAUAUCAACCAUGGGAAGAUAUUAGUAUGGAUUUUGUGCUUGGUUUGCCUAGGACUCAAAAUGGAAAGGAUUCCAUAUUUGUUGUUCUAGACCAAUUCUUGAAAAUGGCACAUUUCACCCCAUGCAAUAAGAUAGACGAUGCUUCACAUGUCACAAAUCUCUUUUGUAGGGAAAUCUUGAGGUUACAUGGAGUGCCAAGGACCAUUGUGUCGGACCGCGACUUCAAGUUCCUAAGCUACUUUUGGAAGAUUCUAUGCGCCAAGCUCGGAAUCAAGAUUCUUUUCUCGUCGGCCUAUCAUCCACAAACCGAUUUGACCAACUGGAUGCUCUCCACCCUCCUACGCUUGUUGAUCAAGAAGAACAUUAAGGAGUGGGAGGAGUGCUUAGCCAUCGCCGAGUAUGCCUACAAUCGAGCUCGACAUUCGACUAUCGGCAAGUCCCCUUUCGAAGUUGUCUACGGCUUCAACCCUUUGUCCCCAUUGGACAUUCUACCUUUCCCGCUAUAA